rnacentral:rRNA from 1 species
AGAGUUUGAUCCUGGCUCAGAAUCAACGCUGGCGGCGUGCCUAACACAUGCAAGUCGAACGAGAAAGGGAUCCUUCGGGAACCUGAGUAAAGUGGCGAACGGGUGAGUAACACGUGGGUGACCUGCCCUCUGGAGGGGGAUAACCCGAGGAAACUCGGGCUAAGACCGCAUAAGCCUUCGAGGUCAAAUUCAAAGGGAAAAGGAUUUAGCUUUCGAGCUAAAUCUUACCGGAGGAGGGGCCCGCGUCCCAUUAGCUAGUUGGUGGGGUAAAAGCCUACCAAGGCUACGAUGGGUAGCCGGUCUGAGAGGACGGACGGCCACACUGGAACUGAGACACGGUCCAGACUCCUACGGGAGGCAGCAGUGGGGAAUCUUGGGCAAUGGGCGAAAGCCUGACCCAGCAACGCCGCGUGGAGGAUGAAGGCCCUCGGGUCGUAAACUCCUGUCCUAGGGGAAGAAAAAAAUGACGGUACCCUUGGAGGAAGCCCCGGCUAACUCCGUGCCAGCAGCCGCGGUAAGACGGGGGGGGCGAGCGUUGUUCGGAAUUACUGGGCGUAAAGGGCGCGCAGGCGGCUUGGGAAGUCUUGGGUGAAAGCCCCCAGCUCAACUGGGGAAUGGCCUGAGAAACCACUAGGCUGGAGUGCUGGAGAGGGAAGCGGAAUUCCCGGUGGAGCGGUGAAAUGCGUAGAUAUCGGGAGG